CUAAAAAUGGUUCCUUCCUGAUCAAUAUAGUAAAUUUCAAAAGGAAUAAUUGAAACAAGAACGUAUUGAAAUUUCAAUAAACACAUUGAAAAUGUGUAUGUACUCUUCAAGAAACAAUCACACAAUGGUUCCAUGGCGAAAAUCUAUUUCAUGAAAUUUAAAUUCACUUUUUGAAAGUGUUCUUCAAUUCAAUUCAAUCUUGCAAAGUUUCUAUGAUUAAAGUAGGUAAGAUAUAUUCUAUCAUCUGAAUAUAUCUUCUUGUUUCAUGCAAAAGAUCUAGAGUGGAUCUCAACAAAGAAUUAUCCUGCUAGCAAAAUGGAAAAGUUGCUCCGUGAAAAACUUGAAAAUAACAACAGCAAGCGAAAAGGACAACGACACCUUAUUUCAUGGGCAGAAGCAAUGCAUAUAAGGACAAACAAGAAACAAAGAAGGCAGAUAAUAAAAGGAGGAUUGAAUUAUAUAGUAUGUAAAUCUGUGGAGACGUUGAUAAAGACUUCAUGAAAUGUUAUAACACCAUUGCGGGGACAUUGGUGUACCUCGUGUUGAGGAGAAGUCUGGCGAAGACAGUGAUUUUGAUUUCCCAUGGAUGGAAAAUACAGAGAUUGAUGGUAAGUAGAAUUGUUGUUACAUUUCUUGACACUUCAUAUAUCAUGAUUUUACACUCAUUGUGAAAACAUUCGGGUUGAGGUACUGUAGGGUUUAAAAAAUAGUGGCGACAACGAAAAUGAGUUGUUGAAAAGAUGCGAAGAAGAAGUCGGCAUACUCAAAAAAGAAAUGUCUAGCUACUGGCUUUUUUACAGUAUAAUUGGAAAAUGAGAUAGAUGUCAAUAGCUUCAACUUUUAUGCGAAUGAGUGCUUACCAAUGGCGAAAAGGUUAAUCCUGAAGAGAGGCAUGUUUCCCUGUCCAGCUCAGACAGUGACCCGGAAUAAUGUAGCUGUUAUCGCCUGUAUUUAUUAUUUGAACUACCAUAGCUCUUUUCCCGGAUUACAUAUUUUUUUAAGAUUUCGUAUCGUAUCCGAAAUCUUGUUUAAACGGGCUUUUUCCUCCUUCGUUUUCCUUCUUAUCCUUCUCACUCAUUUCACACAGUAUGUUCUAUUGUUUGUAAUCUCUUUAAUAAUAGCCGUCGUCUGUCUGUCUGUGUGUCCGCGAAAGCCGUGUCCCGUAACGGAAACAC